GCGUCUAGAGGAACAGCGAGAGGGAGACAGACGUUGAGAGAACGAGAAGGAAGGAGAGAAAAUGGCAUCCACGGAUUAUAGUACAUACAGCCAAGCUGCAGCCCAGCAGGGCUACAGUGCUUACACUGCCCAGCCCACUCAAGGAUAUGCACAGACUACCCAGGCACAUGGGCAGCAAAGUUAUGGAACCUAUGGACAGCCCACUGAUGUCAGCUAUACCCAGGCAACCUAUGGGCAGACCGCCUAUGCAACUUCUUAUGGACAGCCUCCCACUGGAUAUUCUACUCCAACUGCCCCCCAGGCAUACAGUCAGCCUGUCCAGGGGUACGGCACUGGUGCUUAUGAUGCCACCACUGCUACGGUUACCACCACCCAGGCCUCCUAUGCAGCUCAGUCUGCGUAUGGCACUCAGCCUGCUUACCCAGCUUAUGGACAGCAGCCAGCAGCCACUGCGCCUGCGAGACCGCAGGAUGGUAACAAACCUGCCGAGACUAGUCAAUCUCAAUCUAGCACAGGGGGUUACAACCAGCCCAGCCUAGGAUAUGGACAGAGUGACUACAGUUAUCCCCAGGUACCUGGGAGCUACCCCAUGCAGCCAGUCUCGGCACCACCGUCCUACCCUCCUACCAGCUAUUCCUCUACACAGCCGACUAGUUACGAUCAGAGCAGUUACUCCCAGCAGAACACCUAUGGGCAGCCGAGCAGCUACGGGCAGCAGAGUGGCUACGGCCAGCAAGGCAGCUAUGGGCAGCAGCCGCCCACCAGUUACCCCCCCAGACCGGGUCCUACAGCCAGGCUCCAAGUCAGUACGGCCAGCAGCGCAGCAGCUACGGGCAGCAGAGUUCAUUCCGACAGGACCACCCCAGUAGCAUGGGUGUUUAUGGGCAGGAGUCUGGAGGAUUUUCCGGACCCGGAGAGAACCGGAGCAUGAGUGGCCCUGAUAACCGGGGCAGGGGAAGAGGGGGAUUUGAUCGUGGAGGCAUGAGCAGAGGUGGGCGGGGAGGAGGACGCGGUGGAAUGGGNGUGGGAGAAAAAUCAACGUUGUCCUCCUGCGCGCUCCCCCCGGGCGGUGACCGCGGCAGAGGUGGCCCUGGAGGCAUGCGGGGAGGAAGAGGUGGCCUCAUGGACCGCGGUGGUCCUGGUGGAAUGUUCAGAGGCGGCCGUGGUGGAGACAGAGGUGGCUUCCGCGGCGGCCGGGGCAUGGACCGUGGUGGCUUUGGUGGUGGAAGACGAGGUGGCCCUGGGGGCCCCCCUGGACCACUGAUGGAACAGAUGGGAGGACGGCGAGGCGGGCGAGGAGGACCUGGAAAGAUGGAUAAAGGCGAGCACCGUCAGGAGCGCAGAGACUGGCCCUACUAGACGCAGAGACCCGCAGAGCUGCAUUGACUACCAGAUUUAUUUUUUAAACCAGAAAAUGUUUUAAAUUUAUAAUUCCAUAUUUAUAAUGUUGGCCACAACAUUAUGAUUAUUCCUUGUCUGUACUUUAGUAUUUUUCACCAUUUGUGAAGAAACAUUAAAACAAGUUAAAUGGUAGUGUGCUGAGUUUUUUUUUUCUUCUUAUUUUAAAGAUGGUUGUUUAAGACUAAACAAUGGGAACCCCUUGUGAGCAUGCUCAGUAUCAUUGUGGAGAACCAAGAGGGCCUCUAACUGUAACAAUGUUCAUGGUUGUAAUUUUUUUUUUUAAUAAAAUUCCAAAUGUUUAUAAACA